CCUACGGGAGGCAGCAGUGAGGAAUAUUGGUCAAUGGGCGGGAGCCUGAACCAGCCAAGCCGCGUGAGGGAAGAAGGUACAGCGUAUCGUAAACCUCUUUUGUCAGGGAACAAAGGCGGGGACUAGUCCCCGGAUGAGGGUACCUGAAGAAAAAGCAUCGGCUAACUCCGUGCCAGCAGCCGCGGUAAUACGGAGGAUGCGAGCGUUAUCCGGAUUUAUUGGGUUUAAAGGGUGCGCAGGCGGUCUGUUAAGUCAGCGGUCAAAGCCCGGGGCUCAACCCCGGCCCGCCGUUGAAACUGGCAGUCUCGAGUUGGAGAGAAGUAUGCGGAAUGCGCGGUGUAGCGGUGAAAUGCAUAGAUAUCGCGCAGAACUCCGAUUGCGAAGGCAGCAUGCCGGCUCCACACUGACGCUGAGGCACGAAAGCGUGGGUAUCGAACAGGAUUAGAUACCCGUGUAGUC
rnacentral:rRNA from 1 species